rnacentral:rRNA from 1 species
AUUGAACGCUGGCGGCAGGCCUAUCACAUGCAAGUCGAACGAGUGGCGGACGGGUGAGUAAUGUCUGGGAAACUGCCUGAUGGAGGGGGAUCACUACUGGAAACGGUAGCUAAUACCGCAUACCAUCGGAUGUGCCCAAAUGGGAUUAGCUAGUAGGUGGGGUAAAGGCUCACCUAGGCGACGCUCCCUAGCUGGUCUGAGAGAAUGACCAGCCAGACGGGAACGGAGACACGGUACAGACUCCGACGGGAGGCAGCAGUGGGGAAUAUUGCACAAGGGGGGCAAGCCUGAUGGAGCCAUGCGGCGUGUAUGAAGAAGGCCUGCGGGUUGUAAAGUACUUUCAGCGGGGAGGCGUUACCCGCAGAAGAAGCACCGGCUAACUCCGUGCCAGCAGCCGCGGUAAUAC